UGGGGAAUAUUGCACAAUGGAGGGAACUCUGAUGCAGCGACGCCGCGUGAACGAAGAAGGCUUUCGAGUCGUAAAGUUCUUUUAUAUGGGAAGAUAAUGACGGUACCAUAAGAAAAAGCCCCGGCUAACUACGUGCCAGCAGCCGCGGUAAUACGUAGGGGGCUAGCGUUGUCCGGAAUCACUGGGCGUAGAGGGUUCGCAGGCGGAAAUGCAAGUCAGGUGUAAAAGGCAGUAGCUUAACUACUGUAAGCAUUUGAAACUGCAUAUCUUGAGAAGAGUAGAGGUAAGUGGAAUUUUUAGUGUAGCGGUGAAAUGCGUAGAUAUUAAAAAGAAUACCGGUGGCGAAGGCGACUUACUGGGCUCAUUCUGACGCUGAGGAACGAAAGCGUGGGUAGCAAACAGG
rnacentral:rRNA from 2 species